CGUGAGCGAUGAAGCCCUUCGGGGUGUAAAGCUCUUUCGGCAGGAACGAUAAUGACGGUACCUGGAGAAGAAGCUGCGGCUAACUACGUGC
rnacentral:rRNA from 1 species